CGUAUGUGGCCACGGUGGGGAGAUGUUUGUUGCUGGGCAGCUGCUUGUUCUGUCUUGGGGCUCAAACGUUUAGUGCUUGGGGAUGCCAGAGCUGGAUGUUAUCGCAGGGACUGAACAGAAAGGAAAAGCUCCAGUGAACAGAAGCUUUGAUCCUCGAUAGUAUUGGACAAUACGAAUGCUCAUCUCCCCAGGCCAGUCACAUCAAUACUAUAUCCAGGAAGAGGAAACGUGUGAAGUCCUCGUGCCUCCCAUCAGGGCCAAGCUGAAGCGGGUCCCUCCUCCCAGGCUGUGACAUUUCCUCUUUCUCUCCAGGGAGGGGGAAGGGAGAAGUCCCCAAGGAGGACGAGGGGAUGGAGAGAUGACAAAGCGGCAGGGGGUGAAAGGGCUCGCAGGAGGAGCACAGGAGACGAUGUGCAAGGCCACGCAGGAAGCUCUGGCUGGGCGAGAGGAAGGCCCGGGUUAACAGCAGGACCACACGCGGUUGGGAGGAGAUUCAGCAGCAGUUCCCUGUUCCCUGUCCCGAGGUGGCCAGCCUCUCUUGAGGGCUGUGGUUUCAAAGGCUCCUCCAACCCUGACAAGCCUUUAUCCAGCUUCGUAUCCCAGGAGGCCAGCUGUUGCACCAUGAAACUUCGGUCUCCUCUCCACACGGGUGCUUUGGACUCGAGACGCGCAGGGAUACCGGAGUGCAUGCAUCCAUGCAGGCUGUUGCUUUUAGAAAUGAAAAGUGCUGAGAGCUGUUGUGCCAAGACUUCAGAGUUUCAGCUGCUUGCAUCAUCCUUCGUCGCAGUCCAGGACUAACCAUAAAGUGGUCUGUGACUGGUGGGAGCCAAGUUUGGGCUUCUCCUUGCUGCCUGUUAUCACUGUAACUUGGCAAAGGCUUUUGGCUUUUGGUUACGUCUGUGACUUCUCUUCUCAAAAUUUCUUGGCUCUUUCAGCUCAUCUGUUUCUUGUUCACUUUUUGGUACGGUUCCGCUGAUGGUGGCUGCCAUGAGAUCCAGGGUGGGCAAGACUAGCCAGCACACAGUCUGAGGGACCUCUGCGCGCGAGGGCUCAGCCGUUCACUUCAACAGGAGUAGGGCCUGGCCCAGCGGUACCUGUUUAGCCCAGUGUAAAGAGGCAGCCUGCAGCACAGCCGUGCGUUAAUCCUAACAAAGUAUGAUGGGAUUUAAUUUCUUUGCGAAAGCUGCUGUGUAUCAACUGUUCUCAAGUCUAUCUUUCCUUUACUCACACACUCAUCUGAUCUCUCUAACACCGUACUGUUUUCCCCUGCUUAGUGCUCUAGGAGAGUUUCCCCAUCUGCAGAGUAAUGCAGAGCUCGGACAUUUUCUGUCUGUAGCCUUGCUCUUGAGGGAAGAGUCAUUGCUACGUCCUUUGAAUGUGCAGUAUCUGCAGUGCCGAAAAAGGUAAGAGCUAGAAAGUCACUUGUACUUCAUCAUCCUUGUAUCUCAUAGGAGCAGGAGCUGACUUGGAUGAGCUUGUAAGGCCUUGUGUUGGAACAGAUCCUGUUCUGUUAACCCCAUUGCUUCCGUUGCUUUUUUCUUCUUUCUGACAGCACUUUUCAUCAUGUACCAUCUCUUUCCAUGCAUAUUGCCCAACGAAGCACCUCAUGGUUUCCCAUGUCUUUAGUAACACACCAGAGGCCUCUGAAGUGAGCAUUCAGAUCUGCAAGGCUCAUGUGAGGUCCCCAGCUGUGGAUCAACAGCUGUCAUUGCAGGUCUGCUCUGGGCCAAGGAACAUUUUGCAAAAUACAUUCAUAUUCCUAGCAGCAAAACGGCAAAUGCCAGGUGGGAGGCCAGGGCUUCAAAAGCUUGUGUUGUCUUCACGAGGAUGUCUGUGAGGGCUGGUGUGCCCUGGUUGGAGAGACCCACCUUGCUGCUGAAUGGUGACCUUGGUGCUCUCUUUUCAAAAGCAUGACUGCUUGGUUUGCUGGCUUGUCUGCUGGGCUGUUGUGCAGAUGUUUAUUUGCGUGAAGCCCAGGGUCUGUGUCCAUUCAUAGCUAUUCUGGCAGUUUCUUCUGCUAGAUAAAAAUUAAUUCACCACUGAACAACUAUUGAUGCUUUGGCCAGAGUAAGGAAAGAGGUCAUCGACCUCGGGCAGCCUGAUGGUGCUAUAUCCACGGAUGGAGGGAUGGCAGCAGCAGGUCAGGUUUCCUGUCUGUAGCCUGCACCCAUUCGUUCCUUGCCUUCACUGCCGAGUCUGCCAAGGACGUUCCCAUCAGCGCUGCUUGUGCUGGCCCGAGGUGCCCUCUCCUGCCUACGUCUCUGCCUCUCUCUCGCUCUUGUGAUUUUUUAACAGGAAGAUUCCCAUGUACACGGGGGGGGGGACCCUUUAAAGCAUUACAGAAAGGUGCGCUACAGGCCUGCUCUCUCGCUAUGCUGAGACUAUGCACCGUGUGCUGGGAAGCAGGGACCAGGCAGGUUGGAGGAUGGGUUUUGAUCCACUUCAAUGCAGAAGCUGGAAAGUGCAUUCAACCACCACUCUCUCCGUCUCCCCACCCCCCAUCCUGCACCUGGUGCCUGCGACUUUCCCUUUGCACAAGGAGACCCUUGCAGUUGUCUUCUCUGGGAAGGAGGCUUCAUUGUCUGGUACAACUAGACUCCCCUUGAAGCCAAACACUUCCGUGUUUUAAAGGCACCGGAGACCUGCCUUCGGGAGGCCUUGAAACCCUGGAGUAUGUGACAGUCUUUGUUUCUGCCUUCCCCUUGCCAGUGGUAUGGUGCAGGAAGGGCUCUGCCUCAGAGAAGCGUAAAGUUUGGGCUUUUCCACUUGGAACUGCGAUGCGUUAAACCUCACCAGCAACUCGCCUUGCAUUUGCUGUCCCACAAGGGACUUGGGACACCAAAGAGAGAAGCAAAUGCAGACUCUUGUACACCUCUGACAGCCUUGACCUAUUGCUCUGCCGUCAUGAAAGGGCUCACGAGGGAGGGUGGGAGUACAUGCAUCCUUGCUGGUCAUGAGGCUGAUCACCAGCGUGCCGAGCGAUUGUCCCGCAGGGCUCUCAACUGUCCAUUCGCUCUUGUGUCUUGUUUAAUUUACAGCAGUUUUGUAAGUUGAAUGAAGAAAACUGGCACCUUGCAGGGCAGGCGUCCAAACUGAGGAGGGAGAGGGUGUGGGAUGAACGGCUGGUAACCGGUUGCUGCAGUCACCGAGUCCUAACCGACAGCCCCCGGGGAUGGAGAAGCAGGCAGCUGUGCACUCCUGUUCCUGUAAGCACACGAUGUAGAAGAGCCAGCUCAUCUGUGACGCGAAUGUCCCGUGCUUAGCCUCUGCCCGAGGUGAAUAUGUACAUUUUUAAGUUUGGACAAAAGUUCCAUUAGCCGCGGGCAUGUUCCCUAUUGUGAAUGCAGGGCAUGCUUCCAGGAAUAGAAACCCUGCAACAGUGUGCUCACAGCUAUCUCCAAAGCGUCUGAAGUUCGAAAUUGGCGUGGAAAUAGUCCUGCCUGAGUGUGCAGGACCAAAUGGGAGGAAGGUUGGAUGGGUAAUGACAUAAAGAUUUGUGUUGAGGGAGGUCUUGGAGUCUGGGGCGUAGGUGGCUGCGAGCCCUUUGUCCGGUUUCUGCUCUCCUGUCUGCCGCGCUGAUCCCUUCCUGACAGCUGCCUGCGCUGCUCUUUCCACGGGGAAAGAACGAUUGGUUGUUACUCUGCUGUAUAUGUUUUUUUAAAUGAAUGCUUAGCAGUGAGAGAGCUCUUUGUUUCUUCAAAGGGUUCAGCGAUGAAUAGCUGAUAUUUCCUUAGUUCUUUUAUCCUUAAGGACCUCAAAGCACCAGAGCCACAGACAGUGUAGAAUAGAGGCAAUUUUUAUUAGGAAAAUCACAUUUUGUUGCAGCAGUCCUGCUGUUUCUGUUCACGAGACCAGUUUAUAUAUUUAUUUAUUAGCUUUCAGGUGCCAAAAACGCUCAGGGCAGCUUAUAGGAACAGACAAAUAAUUUAUUAAAUGAGAAUAAAAUAUUAAAAUAUUGUCCCA
rnacentral:lncRNA from 1 species